rnacentral:rRNA from 1 species
AGUGAACGCUGGCGGUAGGCCUAACACAUGCAAGUCGAACGGCAGCACAGUAAGAGCUUGCUCUUACGGGUGGCGAGUGGCGGACGGGUGAGGAAUACAUCGGAAUCUACUUUUUCGUGGGGGAUAACGUAGGGAAACUUACGCUAAUACCGCAUACGACCUACGGGUGAAAGCAGGGGAUCUUCGGACCUUGCGCGAUUGAAUGAGCCGAUGUCGGAUUAGCUAGUUGGCGGGGUAAAGGCCCACCAAGGCGACGAUCCGUAGCUGGUCUGAGAGGGUGAUCAGCCACACUGGAACUGAGACACGGUCCAAACUCCUACGGGAGGCAGCAGGGGGGAAUAUUGGACAAUGGGCGCAAGCCUGAUCCAGCCAUACCGGGGGGGUGAAGAAGGCCUUCGGGUUGUAAAGCCUUUUUGUUGGGAAAAAAAAGCAGCAGGUUAAUACCCCGCUGUUCUGACGGUACCCAAAGAAAAAGCCCCGGCUAACUUCGU